GUCUGAACUCCCUUGGGGUUUGGAAUGCUUAAUCUGUAAAACCCGGAAUGGAAAAAGUCGUAAUCUGUAAAACCUGGAAUGAGAAAAGCCGUAAUCUGUAAAACUUGGACUGAAAAAAGCCUUAAAGAUUCGUUUUAUGUAAGGCCCUAUUUAUAUUAGGGCCUGAAUAUCAAGUUAUGUAAAACCUGGAUUGAGAAACCCUUAAUCUGUAAAACGCGGACUGAAAAAAACCUUAAUCUGUAAAACUCGGAAUGAGAAAAGCCUUAAAGAUUCGGGGGUUUUGGAUUCCGGAUUUUAAAGAUUCGGGGGUUUUCCCAUUCCCAGUUUAAAGAUUCGGGGGGGGGAUCGAUUCCCAGUUUAAAGAUUCGAGUUUUUUUAUUCCCAGUUUAAAGAUUCGGGGGGUUUUGGUAUCCGGAUUUUAAAGAUUCGGGGGGUUUUCGAUUCCCAGUUUAAAGAUUCUGGGGGUUUUGGAUUCCGGAUUUUAAAGAUUCGGGGGAUUUUCGAUUCCCAGUUUUAUUAAAGUUUCGGGGGGUUUUCGAUUCCCAGUUUAAAGAUUCGGGGGGGGGGGUUAUUCCCAGUUUAAAGAUUCGGAGGUUUUUGGAUUCCAGAUUUUAAAGAUUCGGGGGUUUUUCGAUUCCCAGUUUAAAGAUUCGGGGGUUUUUUGAUUCCCAGUUUAAAGAUUCGGGGGUUUUUGGAUUCCGGAUUUUGAAGAUUCGGGGGUUUUUCGAUUCCCAGUUUUAUUAAAGAUUCGGGGGGGUUUCGAUUCCCAGUUUAAAGAUUCGGGGUUUUUGGAUUCCGGAUUUUAAAGAUUCGGGGGUUUUUCGAUUCCCAGUUUUAUUAAAGAUUCGGGGGGUUUUCGAUUCCCAGUUUAAAGAUUCGGGGGUUUUUUUACUCACAGUUUAAAGAUUCGGAGGUUUUUGGAUUCCGGAUUUUAAAGAUUCGGGGGUUUUUCGAUUCCCAGUUUAAAGAUUCGGGGGAUUUUUGAUUCCCAGUUUAAAGAUUUGGGGGUUUUUCGAUUCCUAGUUUAAAGAUUCCGGGGGUUUUGGAUUGCGGAUUUUAAAGAUUCGGGGUUUUUUCGAUUCCCAGUUUAAAGAUUUGGGGGUAGAUUCGGGGGGUUUUCGAUUCCCAGUUUAAAG
rnacentral:lncRNA from 1 species